UUCUUUUGCAGAUGAGGAGUUAGGCUGAGAGGUUGACUUUCUCACCAAAACACAGAUGGUGCCUGGCCUGUGAUCCCCUCUACUCAGCAAUGGAGAACUUCCCUCAUAUUAAAUCCCUCUAACCCUUUGAAUCUCUCUUGCUUCUUCUGCUACCAACUGGAUACAACUCUCUGCUUUGAAAGGGCCCACGUGAUUGGAAUAGGACCGUUGGAACAAUCUCCCUAUUUCAAGUACGGGUGUGAAGAGGUGGAGAUGAAUUGAGUGUCAUGUGCUACACACACGUGAUAUUCUUGACUUUUCUCAACAG